rnacentral:rRNA from 1 species
GUUAGGAAUUUUGGGCAAUGGGCGAAAGCCUGACCCAGCAACGCCGCGUGGAGGACGAAGCCCUUCGGGGUGUAAACUCCUUUUCUGUGGGAAGAGUAAGGACGGUACCACAGGAAUAAGCCUCGGCUAACUACGUGCCAGCAGCCGCGGUAAGACGUAGGAGGCGAGCGUUGUCCGGAUUUACUGGGCGUAAAGGGCGUGUAGGCGGCUCGACAAGUUGGGUGUGAAAGCCCCCGGCUUAACUGGGGAGGGUCAUUCAAUACUGUCGAGCUGGAGGCCGGUAGGGGGAGAUGGAAUUCCCGGUGUAGUGGUGAAAUGCGUAGAUAUCGGGAGGAACACCGAUGGCGAAAGCGAUCUCCUGGGCCGGUCCUGACGCUGAGACGCGAAAGCGCGGGGAGCGAACCGGAUUAGAAACCCGGGUAGUCC